rnacentral:tRNA from 1 species
AUAGAUAAAGCAUAAAAUGUAGUUCAUUGUUAAUGAAAAGAAGAAGGAGAGGGAGGAGGUCCCCCCUUUUUACG